rnacentral:rRNA from 1 species
UGAGGAAUAUUGGUCAAUGGGCGGAAGCCUGAACCAGCCAAGUCGCGUGAGGGAAGACGGUCCUAUGGAUUGUAAACCUCUUUUGUCGGGGAGCAAGGAUCCGCACGAGUGCGGAGGGGAGAGUACCCGAAGAAAAAGCAUCGGCUAACUCCGUGCCAGCAGCCGCGGUAAUACGGAGGAUGCGAGCGUUAUCCGGAUUUAUUGGGUUUAAAGGGUGCGCAGGCGGAGGAUCAAGUCAGCGGUAAAAUAGCGGGGCUCAACCCCGUCGAGCCGUUGAAACUGGUUUUCUAGAGUGAGCGAGAAGUAUGCGGAAUGCGUGGUGUAGCGGUGAAAUGCAUAGAUAUCACGCAGAACUCCGAUUGCGAAGGCAGCAUACCGGCGCUCAACUGACGCUCAGGCACGAAAGCGUGGGUAUCGAACAGGA